UACAGAGACUGCGAGCGUUAUUCGGAUUCACUGGGCGUAAAGGGUGCGCAGGUGGCUGGGUGUGUUAGGCGUGAAAGCCCGGGGCUUAACCCCGGAAUUGCACCUAAAACUACUUGGCUAGAGCAUUGGAGAGGGGAGCAGAAUUCAUGGUGUAGCAGUGAAAUGCGUAGAUAUCAUGAGGAAUACCAGAGGCGAAGGCGGCUCCCUGGACAAUUGCUGACACUCAGGCACGAAAGCGUGGGGAGCAAAAGGG
rnacentral:rRNA from 1 species